rnacentral:lncRNA from 1 species
GGAGAUCUGAGGAAAUAAAAUGUACCUCUUUUAGCAUAGUGGGUAGAAAGAUGCUGACUACCUAUCCGUUUGUUCUCAGAUAGAAUCUCUGGUGGCUGUUCAUGUGCUGUUCAGGAAGAGCAUUCCUUAUGAGGCUUUCCAGUUCCUUUCUAGCCAGCAUUCUUCACUUGAAAGCUUGACUGUUUACAAAAAUAAGAUGGCAGUGAUUAUUCCUCCAACAGAAUCUACAUACAGGACUUUCUCUUCCUUAGAAGGCCAAAAGGUCUUGCUAGGGUUAAACUCCUGCCUGAUCUGAAAAGAAUUACAAAACGAAUAACUGAUUCUUCAGUUUCUGACCUUUCUGCCAGAGCUGGUGAGUAUCAAUUAAGCAAAUGAUGUCUAAAAGGUAAGAAAUUAAUUCCUUCUCGUUUCCUCCCUUGCUUGGUGUGAAAGCAGAAAGGGAUUCUCCUUGUGCUUAAAGACGGUGGAUGAGUUGGAUGAGAGAAGACAUUUACACAGCUUCCCUGGAUUUUAAUUGUUGAGAUAAUGAAGAUUUCAGAUGCCUUUUUAAUGCUCAAUGCCAUAGCCUGAAGCCAGCUGAGAAAGAGCACUACAUUAUUAAUGCCUCACCCUCCAAGCUGUUAACAAACAAUUGUUGUAAUAAAAGGAGGACUAAAAAUUACGCUUUAAUGAGA